GCUGGGGUGUUGUCGGGGACAGACUGCUAGCUUAAGCGGCUCUUUUAAUUAUAUUGUCUAUAUAUAGUCCAAUCCAAGUUGGAUUAUCAAAAGUCUGUAGCAGCUAUUGUUGUGGUGGCAAUAGUGUGUCAGAAUGUGUGUUCAGUUGUAAAGUGCAACGGUUAUGACAGCAGGUGUCAGAAUAGUCAGUUGGAGUUCAACGCAGACAUGUGAAGAGGAAGUAAUAUUGAAAGAAAUUUCGAGAUUAUGAAACGCCCCGACCACUCGCGUGCAGACGAAAAGGGAAAGCCAAAAACACGAGACAACUUCAGACGUGUUAAAAAAGAAAGAAAACGGGAAAAGACUCUAUGGUAACGAUGGCGCCAAGUAGAGGCAUAAAGGUGACGGUGUGAGGUUACCCGAAGAGACUACGCAAGUUGCCAGAUGAAGACGCCGCUCACUUCAGUCCUGUCAUGACCAUGACAUGGUGCAAUCCACGUCCAAAGCUCGGCAAUAAAGAAGCAGAUAUGGACUACAAAAGGUGCCGCCUAACUAUGGGCCGAAGAAACGAGAGGAAGCCAUUUAAUAUGUUUUUUGUUUAAUUGAAAAUAUGUUUCUUUUAUAUAGUUUUAUCUUUUAUAUAUUUAUAUAACAUUUUAAGUAUUUUCUUUAUUUUAUGUGUUUGCUUUUCAUAAACUACUCAAGCUGUGCACAUAUUGUGAUUGAAUUAUAACCUAGCCGAAUCACAAAUGUAACUAUUAUUUAAGUUUGUGAUCUGUUUUAUGU